UUGGUAUGUAAAAUGAGAUUGUUUUUAAUUUAAAUAAAAUUUUAUUUUAAAAAAGAAAUAUGUUUAUUAAAAACACAAGAUUAAAGAAAAGAUAUCUGAUCUCUAUUUACUGGAAAACUAAAUAGAAAUUGAAACAAUUCUAGAUAUAGCUCAUAGCUAUAUCUAGAAUAUAGCUAUGAGCUAUAUAUAGCUCUAGAUAUAGCUCAUUUCUAUGGAUCAUAGAAAUUAAACAAAGAAAGGAUCCAAAUUUAAAUAGGCCUUUCAGGCUUAAGGAGAUUAAACAGCACCAAUGAUUUUUAAAACUCUAAAAUCCUUGGAUGCAGAUGAAUCCACACCAGAAUUCUAAAAGACUUUAGAAGAAGAACUACAACCAAUAUUUCUUAAUUUAUCAGAAAAAAUAGAAAUGGAAUGAGCAAUUGAAACCUACAUCUAUGAAACCAGAUUUACUCUACUGUGGGAACCUUGAGUAGACUCAACAAACAAAAAUUUAGUAGUAUGGUACAUAGUAGCAGUUUUUCCUCUAGGGCCUAUGAGGUGUCCAGCCAUGGGUUCUUGGAUAGGUGUAUGGAGCAAUGAAUGAGUUCCCUGAAGUUAAGUUGAUUUUAGGUCCAGUUCGGUAAGCCACUGGCUGUCCCCAGGGUGAAUGUGUCUCUUUGGCACUGUAAGGAGUGGCUUGCUAUUUCUUUUUUGCCUUUUUCAACAUUUUCAUUUGUGUAGGGCAAUUGACAUCAUGUUCCCCUUGCAUAGUCAUUCCAAAUUUAUGAGGGCUGUCCCACAUGGAGGUAUCUUCCAGAUAAAUGACAGUUUGAUGACCAAAAGAUGUGUUGCCUUCAUCAAUAGGAUCAUACCCUGAUAUCCUAGCAGGUAACAAAAAAAAUACUGGCAUUAGCUUCUUUUGCUUUGGAUGAGUCUUGAAAUACACUAACAACUGAAGGGGAUAUUUUUCAUAGAUGCCAAUGGGUGGUUUUAGCUAAUGAACAAGUCCAGAGGGUGCAUUAUCCAACUCUGUGAGGACCUGCACUAAACACUAGAAGUUUUAUUUUUAAGCAAGCAUACAAGAUAUUAGGUUUUGCUUGUUUCUGAAACAUGCUUAUGCCCCCUUCUAUCUCCCUAUGCAUCUCUCUCCCUCUUCUUUCCCUGUACUUAUGCACGCCUCCUUUCCCUUCCCUAUAUCUCUGUACUACUCACUUCCUCUUCCCUACUCAAGACCUCUUACUUUUAUUUUUCUCUUCACAGCCCCUGUGUCCUGCUCUUUCCCUCUCUGAAGCUAUAUCUACUCACCCAAGAUGCUGCCUUUCUACUCUGCUGGCUUCUAGGGUUACUUAGGUUUAUACAUACAAACCAAGAGGACAUGGUUCUAAUAAUAAGAGGAAGCAAAUCAUUUGUCUUUCUGGACCUGGGUGACUUCACUAAAUAUAACAUUUUCCACUUCCAUCAAUUUGUUUGCAGUUUGCAUUUUUGUUUUCAGAUAAAAAUAAUUGUAUACUUUUACGACAUUUUAAUCAUCCAUUAACCAUUUCUUGGGCAUUGUGAAUAGAAUGGUAAGGACCACGGGUGAACAAGUACAUCUUUAGUGGGAUACCAACCCUUUUCAACAUAUACACAGGAGAGAUUUGACUCAAUUAUAUAAUAUAUCUCAUUUAAGAUUUUUGAGACAUAUGCGUAUGGAUAUCGAGAGGGACUGUAACACUUUGCAAGCCUGACAACAGUGGAUAAAGAUUUCUCUUCUUAUUCAAGUUUACCAGCAUUUGUUGUCAUCUACAGUGUGGGUUUUCCUUUGUACUUUCAUUAUUCUGUCUUCAUUAUUAUUGAAAAUUUGGAAUAAGUUUCUGUAUUAACUUUUUCAUUACCUUUAAUUCCUAUAGUGACUGAAUAUUGCAAGGUAACAAAAAACAGAACUGAUACAUUUAUCACAAGCUACAAUUUAUGCCUACUUCCCCAUCUGCCUGUGUCACUGUGAUAAGCACUACUUUCCCAGAUGGAACAGUAAUACACGGCCUCAUCCUCCACCUGUAGCUCAGAGAUCUGCAAAUUUGCCGCAUUUUUGGAGGUAUCUUUGGAUCCAGAGACUCUGUUGGGGACUCCAGGCCCCAGCUGCUUGUCUGAAUCUGAGUAGUAGGAGAGGAAUAACCUGGGAGCACUCCCGUCCAUCUGCUGGUACCAGUUAAUUCUUCUACCACCAACACUGAUGCCACUCCUCAGGGUGCAGACAAAGGAAUACUACAGGGAACAUGGUGAUGUUAUCUAGUGGAGCCAUCACUGGAACAUUUCUCUGAUGAGGGUGGACAGGCAGGGAGAGCAUGCAUGCAGCCAACCUACGAGAGCUUGUGAAUCAUCCAGGAGCUGAAGCAGGGAGAAGAAGUAACUGGGUGGAUAGACAUACCACUUUUAUUGCUGUUGUUAUUUAAAAAAAGAAAUAGAGUUGUGCCUUUAGGAAGGGACAUUUGUGGACUGAGAAAUCAAUUGCUCAGUAGUGAUGGAGAGGACAGAAAGACAAGGUUUGUUUUAUAGUGUUUGAAGAGACAUUUGAGAAUUUAGUAUUUCUUAAAGGCUCAAUCAUAGAUGACUCUAAGGGGUAGACAAUGAUGCUUGAGGGAUGGACAUCUGACUUUUUGCAUCAUUGUGAUCUAAAGAAAAAGGAACUGAUUUUCAUGUUCAAGGUAUAGGUAAAUCAACAAAGUUAGCAGAGGGACAGAGGGCAGGCAGGAUGGAGGACAGGGAAAUGUUACUUAUAAUAAUGGAUCUAACAGAUGAUAGGUGAGGAGCUGUGGUAAAGUGUUGUAGGGAUCUGUGAUUAAGAGGCAGUUAUAGCUAGGGUGGCAACAGAGCUCAUAGGCCUGUCACUACCCCUGCAGUGAGAAAGAAGCAGUUCAAAAGAAAAUAAGUGAACAUAGACCACUGAUCUCCACAAGGAGUCUAGUUGGUCCCAGGCCUCCAUUCCCGCCUCUGCAGAGAACUGCCUGUUCCUCCAGGUAUGUUUCCACUGAAGCUGCCAAGGCUCUUUGUGAGCUCUGCUGCAGGAGCUCUGCUCACAUGACAGACUAAGGCAGAGAUAGUUAGUCUUUCAAUAGUGGGAGAGUCCUGGGAGAAAUCACUAGCCAAGACCAAGCCCCUUUCUCCAUGAACUCUGCCAGGACAGAAGACACCACCGCGGAGUCUCCUUGGUAAGCACAGGAUGAGCUCUAUGUCCAGCUUCUUUGAGUAAUAGGAAGUAGUGUCCUACCACAGUCCCAGAGCGCCCCCUGUUAGGCAAAGAACACUUAGUUACCAUAGUCCAGAGACCUCAGAAUCCAACUGGAGUCUACUACUCACCAAAUCACUGUGUGAACAAACAUAUCCAGACUCUGAUGUCUAAAUUUGAAAUGCAUCCCUUUUAUCUGCUUGUCACAGAUAAAAAGGUUGUCAUAUCCAGAAAAAACAACCAUUGAGAUCGUUAUGAAAACAUCCAGAAAUAUUAAAGUGUUAACUCAUCCACAGAAGAAUGGCAACUAUCAGAUUACUUCACUGGUCAGAUUUCCUCCAGAGUAAGGAUGGAUGAAGAAAGAGAUGUUUAAACUUACCCAUGUCCAGCAGAACAUACUAGAUUGACUCAGAAACGUAUGAAUUCAGAUCUACCUGCCUCUCGAGUGCUGGGAUUAAAGGCAUGGGCCUCCAUCACCCAACUCUUAGAUAAUUUUUAAUAGCUGGAUGUAAUGGCACCAGCCUGUAGUCCUAGCUACCAACUGGGGAAACUGAAGUGAAGGAGGCUGUCUUUUGCCCAGAAAUUCAAACACCUUGUUAUAAUUAUAAUAUUUAUAUUUUAUUAAAAGGUCUAAAUUUGAAUGCUGGGAAUAAAAGAUAAAAACAUAAAAAUAAAAAAUGAAACGUGAAUAGAAAUACUUCAAUGUGCAGACAUGUCCAAGAAUAGAAUACCAUUUUUAAAAAAAGAGUUUCUGAUGAGUUGUUGAGUUCAACAUUUCCAUAGUCCAUUCACACUGAGAAGCUUCCAGUUCUAAUAUAUCUCUAGAAUUCCCUUUUCUCCUGAUGUUCAGCAAUAACAAGACUGUGUCUACCUCAAGAGUCUUGAGAAAAGUCUCUACAAUGUGAUGAGGCAGUGUUACCUCCUAAUUUGCACAGGGACUUCUGACUUCAAGUUCCCACUCAAGACAGUCUGGAACUACAACCACCACUUACUGACAAUGGGGAUCAGCUAUUCAUGUCAGGGCUUCAGUGAGGCUGGAGAAUGUCAAAGGAUUAGGAACUUAUCCAAAUGAAGAUCUUUCCCACAAGAGCACUUAAUGGUUAUCAUAGUGAUGACAGCCCAAGAAGUUAGGAAACCAACUCUUGGGAUGGCCUAGACUUGUCCAGCCUCCUUCCUCACAUUGAUUUCUGCACAGGAGAUUGAUUAAGGGCCUGUAUUAAAUAUCAUCAGAUCUGCCCUUGUGCUGGCUUCAGAUAUGUCUGAGAUCUAAGCACGAGUCAGUGUGGGAAUCAUCUUUCUCUUUCAUUUCAUGUGACCACACCUGGUCUUGACUGGCCUCAUGGCUCCUUCUUUAGUACUCCAGUAUUUAGGAUGCUGAAACAGAACACCCUCAGAUGUUAAGCUUACAAACAAAAGGUAUUUAAUUGUGUCGUUAUAGGGAGACACACACUGGCUCACAAAUGUGUCUUCUCACUGUUAACUCAUGAAACAAAAGCUGCAGCUACAAUGAGAUUUCUGUAAGUAUACCUAUCUAAUUAUUGAUGAUUAUGCCAUGUAAAUGACUCUGAUUUUAGAGACAGUCUCCACCGUGUUGUAUUUCAACAUAUGUGUUUUGGAGGAGAGAGAUAUUAAGACAACGAUUCUAUUGAACUUCCUUUUCCUUAAUACUUCAAAGGAUAGAACACUGAUUCUAGUCUUAGUCCUCCAUCUCUGCUGAUUUAUUAUUUCUCUCCAUCAUUUCUGUUUACAGACUCAUCACUAUAUUUAAAAUAAUACAGAGUAUUCCUAGGGAUCAUGUACUCAGAGCAUUGAUUCCAAAUCUACCCAGUGACUAUUGUCCAGCUUUCUAUUGUCACUGGCCUUCUAAGAGUACAGAAGACUCUUAAACUCACUGAGUGCAUUGUGAAAUCAUCCUCAUAAAGCCUGCCACUUAGUGGAUAAAUUUUCCUUUUCCUCUUCCCCUUCUUUUUCCUUCUUGAAUUGCAGGUGAUGUGUAGAAAGGAUAAUCACCAGUAAAAUGUGAAUUUUUAUUACA